GCACAAGCGGUGGAUGAUGUGGUUUAAUUCGAUGCAACGCGAAAACCUUACCCACCUUUGACAUGUACGGAAGCCUUUAGAGAUAGAGGCGUGCUCGAAAGAGAGCCGUAACACAGGUGCUGCAUGGCUGUCGUCAGCUCGUGUCGUGAGAUGUUGGGUUAAGUCCCGCAACGAGCGCAACCCUUGUCAUUAGUUGCUACAUUCAGUUGGGCACUCUAAUGAGACUGCCGGUGACAAGCCGGAGGAAGGUGGGGAUGACGUCAAGUCCUCAUGGCCCUUAUAGGUGGGGCUACACACGUCAUACAAUGGCUGGUACAAAGGGUUGCCAACCCGCGAGGGGGAGCUAAUCCCAUAAAGCCAGUCGUAGUCCGGAUCGUAGUCUGCAACUCGACUACGUGAAGUCGGAAUCGCUAGUAAUCGUGGAUCAGAAUGUCACGGUGAAUACGUUCCCGGGUCUU
rnacentral:rRNA from 1 species